ACACACACACACACACACGAGUGUGUGGAUAUAUAUAUGUAUAUAUAUAGAAUUUCUUUUUUUUUCCAAUAUCACUCUGUUUUUUUCUCUUCUCUCUCUUCACUUUUCCUACUUUUCUAUAACAAAAAUAUUGUUCUCCCACUUUCGAUGUAUACCAAUUUUUUUCCAUCUCUUCUUAUCAUAUAUGAAAUCUCAAUAAAUACAUAAUAUUAAAAAAAAAGGAAAAUAACAUCGCUUUAGCACUUGCAUCAUCUGGAAUAGCAGCAACAUUGCUACCAGGAGGAAGAACAGCACAUUCAGCACUAAAACUACCUUUAAACAUACAACACAUUGAAACACCAAUCUGUAACAUCUCAAAAACAUCAGGUAUGGGAAAAGUACUCUAAAAAUCCAAAAUAAUCAUAUGGGAUGAAUGUACUAUGGCCCACAAGAAAUCUCUUGAGGCUCUCCACCGUACACUUCAAGACCUGCGUGACAAUAAAGGCCCCUUUGGAAAUGCCACAAUACUUCUGGCAGGAGACUUCAGGCAAACCUUACCCAUCAUUCCCCAUUCCACACCAGCGGAUGAAAUCAAUGCAUACCUGAAAUACUCUACUUUGUGGCAAUAUGUCAAAACAUUAAAACUGACCACGAAAUACAAUUACAGUACCAAUGUUCUAUUUAUUAUACCAAAUUGGUUUGCUUGAAGCAGUUCUUUUCACAAUGUGACUCAUGAAAUCUCACCUUCUCUGUUUCCCUCUUAUCUUUUUUUCUCUCAGCAGGAUGAAAAGAAGGAUGCCAUUCCUCAGGCAAGUCAUCAGGUUAGUCUUCAAGCCAACCUGUGGGCUAGUCAGCAGGCCGGUCAUCAAAUCUCAUGAAAUAUCACCUUCUCUGUUUCCCUCUUCUCAUCUUUUCCUUUUAGCAGGAGGAGACGAAGCAUGCAAUUCCUCAGACCAGCCUGCAGGCCAGUCAUCAGGCCGGAUCAUCAGGCCAGCCAGCGGAUCAGUCAUCAAAUCUAAUCACAUCUCAUCUUCUCUGUUUCCUCUUCUCUUUUUUUUCUAUAAGCAAGAAGAAUUGAAUCAUGCCGUUCCUCAGGCCAGUCAUCAUGCCAGCCAGUGGGCCGAUCAUUGAGCCAGCCAGCGGGCCAGUCAGUGGGAUGGUAAUCAAAUCUCAUGAAAUCUAACAUUCUCUGUUUCCCUCUUCUCUUUUUUUCCUCUUAGCAGGAGGAAAUGGGAGAUGUCGCUACUCUGGCCAGUCUGCAGGCCAGACAUUUAGCUAGUCUGCGGGCCAGUCAUCAGGCCAUCCUACAGGUCAGCCAUCGGCUCAGCCUCAAGCAUCCGAUCUGACACCAGAGACGCCAACAUGCUCAGUAAUGUUCUAGAGAGGGAAGGAGGAUAUUGCUCAGGGAGGUUUGAAUUCCUAGACUCCACAUUAAGAAAGAAUACUGGCUUGGGAACCUUGUAAUUUUGAUUUUUUUAAUUAUGUCCUAGAUUGUUGUUUUCUUGUGUUUUAAAUCUUUUUGUCAAAUACCUGACAGCAUCACAGUUGUGAGUUUAGUAUAUAGGCUUCUUCAACCCUCCCACUGUCCUUUCAUGCUCACAAUCACUGUAAGCUAAAAGACAGCAAUUGGACUCACCAUCCACUGAGAAAUGUCAUGACCAAGUACAACGUGAAUUUGGCUUUCCUAAUUAUAGCCCCAAUGUUCUAUUCACUAUACCAAAUUGGCUGGUCUGAAGCAGUUAUUUUCACAAUGUGACUCAUGAAAUCUCGCCUCUGUUUCCCUCUUCUCUUUUUUUUCACUUUGGUUUUCAGGCCAGUUUUCAGGCCAGUGUGGGUUAGUUAUUAAGCCAUCCUUCAGGUCAGCCAUCGGCUCAACCUCAGCUGACACCAGAGACAUCGACAUACUCAGAAUUAUUCUAGCUCUCUGUUUCCCUCUUCUCUUUUUUUCUCUUAGGAUGCCAUUCCUCAGGCCACUUUUCAUGCCAGUCUGUGGGCCAGUAAUUAGCCCAUCCUUCAGGUCAGCCAUUGACUCGGUCUUAGCCGACACAAGAGAUGUCGACAUGCUUGGUAACUUUCUAGAGAGGGAACGAGGAUAUUGCUCAGGGAGGUUUAAAUUCCUAGAAUCUGCAUCUAGAAAGAAUCCUGUUUUGGGAACCUCAUAAUUUUGGAGCUCCAAUAUGGAGCUUCUGCUGUGAUCCUAAUUUCAAAUGGUGAAGCUAUAUGGAACUCUCUUUUGUUAGAAUAGGAAACAGGAAAAGAUGCUCUGUGUUUGAAUGGAUCUGUUUUAAAUCUAACACAGAUUCCAAUGAACCUGUAGGCCAAGCUGUCAGAGUCAUGUGGUCUCAGAAGGGCUUCACUGGGUGGAACGGCCGCAGGGGAGGAAUCACCUGUGUGUUGAUUGGUUAUGCACUGAUCUCCAUGUUAAGGACAGCAGCCAUUUUGUCUGACCUCAUGGCUGACUGGUGGGGGCGGACAUUUUGUUGGACCUGAAAUAGCAGCCAUCUUGAUGAAGAAUUUCACCUCAACAUGGAAGGACUAUUGGCAGGCCAAAGAACUGUAUGCUGGCCUAUAAAUGGCGAUUUGCCUUCCAACGGUAUGGUAGUCUAUUCUUUUAUGUUAACAGGAUUUACUGUUACUUUUUACUUUUCAGCAUCAAGAGUGUCCAAGCUGCAGUUCACCAAGCUGUAAAUCCACUAAUCAACUACUUAGCGACUUCAUAGCCUGAAAUAUUUAAAAUGCAGAUUAUAUUACAAAGCCAGCUGUUACCAACUCACACAAUGGGAUAUGGUUGACAACUUGACAUGUCCUAUUAGCUAUAUGAGAAUUAAUUAAUGAGGGAUUGUUUUUGUUUCACAGAAUGGCACCCAUAAAGAAUGUUGGAGCCCCCCCCCCCCCAUAUUUCUUCAGAAGUAGAGAAGAUGACAAGAUGGCAGAGACAAUCAAUUCGCUUUUGGCUCACAUGAGCACAUUGGAAAAGGAGAAAGGGGCAGCCCCCUUUUCCUCCAGUCCAUGGCUUGCCUGCCUCGCAAAUGCAGUUUUGUUGGUGCAUAGAUGUCUGGUCCUGAUCUGCGGCCAUAGCUACGUGCAUUUGGAGCGACAGGCCCGGAGGAGUUCCUAUGGCCAACAUCUGGGCCUCGCCACCAUGGCCACCAUGAAAUGGAGGAACAGAAGAGGCUUGCGUUGGGAUGGUUUAAUCCUGCUGUUACUCAAAUGAAAUUGAGUCUCUCUUUUGGAAGAUGCAGUGUGAUCAGUCAGCACUGGAACACAUUCUGGGGGGACAACAACCAUCUGGAAUGAAAACAUUCCAGUCUACCACCUAUGCUCAAUUGAACAGAAGACCAAUGAGCUGUUGGCAAUGUAUGCCUUAAUGUUUGCUGCGGUAUGCAGUUGACAAGAAAAGACUUUGAUAGUAGAAGAAGGAUUAUAUAUAGCCAACAUGUUUUUUAAAGAGAAAUUUUGAAUGUGAUUUUUUUUACCCACUUAAAGCCCUCUAGGACAGGGACUUUGGCUAGAUUUACCCAUAAUACGCAUCCCAGUCAAACUUUUGCUAUUAGAAUGUGGAAAGAUUUUAUUGGGCUUGAAAACAUAUGCUGCUUUGGACUGCUGUACAAAGACUUCUUGCGCACUCUUAUGCAAAACAUCUACAUAGAUUGUUUUAUGAAGAAUCUCAGUGGCCUGAGGCUUAGGAAAUUUUUAAAUGAUGUUCAUUGAAAUUUAUUUAAUCUAUUUAAUUUUACAUGUAUUGUGUGUUACAUGUUUCCUGUGGUUUAUGAUUUUUAAUGAUUUUUUAUGCUAUGUUAUCUUGCUGUUUUAGUCAUGUUCACCCAUGGGAGAAAAGCAGGAUUAAAUAAAUAAAUAAUUUUUCCAUUC